GAUGAACGCUGGCGGCGUGCCUAAAACAUGCAAGUCGAGCGGUAAGGCUUUGCACUUAGUGUUUGAUCGAGAUAAUUAUUAUCACAGUUAACCAAUCGGAACCUUGGCGGGGAAGUGCGGAAGAGGAAGAUCGAAUUAUAAGUGUAGAGUACACGAGCGGCGGACGGGUGAGUAACACGUGGGAAUCUACCCCAAACUGAGGGAUAAGCACCGGAAACGGUGUCUAAUACCGCAUAUGGUCUUCGGAUUAAAGCUUCGGCGGUUUGGGAAGAGCCCGCGCAAGAUUAGCUAGUUGGUGAGGUAAAGGCUCACCAAGGCGACGAUCUUUAGCUGGUUUGAGAGGAUGAUCAGCCACACUGGAACUGAGACACGGUCCAGACUCCUACGGGAGGCAGCAGUUAGGAAUUUUCCACAAUGGGCGCAAGACCUGAUGGAGCAACGCCGCGUGCAGGAUGAAGGUUUCGGAUUGUAAACUGCUUUAUAAGUGAAGAAUAUGACGGUAACUUAU
rnacentral:rRNA from 1 species